AAUUGCAUCAACAAAUACAAAAUCAUCUAUUAAAUUCAGCAAAAUCGUUAUAUUCGUGAUGAUUAUAUGGCAUUUCUGCUCGACUUCCGAUAUGCAUUUUCUACAACCGGAAGAGCCGCUGUCACGUGAUCAUACGUCACAAAAACUUUCGGGCACAGCACAAGCGGGUAGAUGAAUGGAGAAGUGGAUGACAAGAAAAUUGUUUUUAUAGUCUUUAACGUACAUUGGACAUCAUGGUGUAUUGUGCUGCUUAUGGUUGCAAUAAUUCCAAUGGGAAAUGCCCUGGAGUAAGUUUUUUUGCAUUCCCCAAGGACCCGAAGCUGAGGAAAGUGUGGGCUCACUACUGCCGUAGAAAAAACUUUGCACCUACUGUUUCCCACAAACUGCGUUCGGACCAUUUCACAGAGGAUUCUUUCAACAUUAAUACUCAGGUACUGAACGAAAUUAAUUGCCAAGCCAAAUUUACCUUCACUCGGAGUUGUACCAUUAUUUUUUUAGACAGGGCGGACGAACCAGGGCAUUCGCCCGCCUGGCCGUGCCCGACGAGGAGUGCUCUCGGCCGGCUUGGGAGGCAGACGGCAGCCCCUCCUGGAAGUGUGGUUUUACCAUGGGCCUCAUGUGGAAAAAUGCCGAGGUGCAUUCGCUAAGCGACUGAAAGCCGAGGAACGUGAGGAGGUUGAGGAGCGUGAGGAGGUUGAGGAGCAUGAGGUGGUUGAGGAGCGUGAGGAGAUUGAGGACCGUGAGGAGAUUGAGGACCUUGAGGAGGAGAACACACUCACUCCCAGCUGUGCUGAAGCUCUGAGAAGCAACAACAAAUCUGGUGGAAAAUAUUAUGGUCUUGCAGCUGUUGCUGUUAGGGUUGUUGUCGUCUGUCGCCAUCUCUCGUGCACCUGCUCAUGAGAGAGAAGCCCGAUCCUGGACUGGCAGAUCCUGGGACAAUGACGACAGGCGAAGGGACCAGGCAUGGGAGCAGAGGGAAGGAAGCGCCAAAGGUGUCACUGGGUCCGUUCUUCUUCAAAGUGGCAGACUCUCUGGGACACAGUCUGCUUCCAGUUCAUGUGGUCUUUGGCGAGGAUCUCAAGGUCAACAGGAGGAAUGUUGCACAACUGCAGGGACCACUUCAAGAAGUCCUUCCAACGCUUCUUGGGUCUUCAACGGGAGCAGGUCCCUUCUGUGAGUUCUCCUUAUAGGAUCAUCUGGGGCAUUCGGUUGGGGGCCAUUCAGAUGGCAUGUCCGGUCCAUCGGAGGACACAAUGGAGGAUCAUGGACUCCACGUUUGUGGAGUGUAGUGUGACCGUAGCUUAAUGAAGCAGAUG